AGUGAACGCUGGCGGUAGGCCUAACACAUGCAAGUCGAACGGCAGCACAGUAAGAGCUUGCUCUUACGGGUGGCGAGUGGCGGACGGGUGAGGAAUACAUCGGAAUCUACUUUUUCGUGGGGGGUAACGUAGGGAAACUUACGCUAAUACCGCAUACGACCUACGGGUGAAAGCAGGGGAUCUUCGGACCUUUCGCGAUUGAAUGAGCCGAUGUCGGAUUAGCUAGUUGGCGGGGUAAAGGCCCACCAAGGCGACGAUCCGUAGCUGGUCUGAGAGGAUGAUCAGCCACACUGGAACUGAGACACGGUCCAGACUCCUACGGGAGGCAGCAGUGGGGAAUAUUGGACAAUGGGCGCAAGCCUGAUCCAGCCAUACCGCGUGGGUGAAGAAGGCCUUCGGGUUGUAAAGCCCUUUUGUUGGGAAAGAAAAGCAGCAGGUUAAUACCCCGCUGUUCUGACGGUACCCAAAGAAUAAGCACCGGCUAACUUCGUG
rnacentral:rRNA from 1 species